CAAGAAGGCGCCUAGUUGUCAAAAUGGUCUUUAUUGCCAAUCUACUGUAUACUUAUUCUGUUGACACUGAAGUUAUUAAUUCGAACCCCGCAAGUUCUACUCUAAUUUUAAUUGACAAUAAUGGUCAGAUUUUCGGUCGUUCCAAGAUUUGUGAUUCUUUUCAUGCACUCCCAUUUCCUCAAGCAAUUAAACCUUACCGCAACAUUUUAUCAAAUAGUACUGAACAUGACAUUAAACAUCUGAAUAUUUUUUUUUCAGGAAUAGGAUUUGGGUUAUGCUAUAACACUGGAUUGAUAGUGAUAGCGUUUAAUUUUGAAAAGAAACGUAACAUGGCGUCUGGCAUAGCUAUAUCAGGUGGUGGAAUUGGACCUUUUAUUUUAACUCCUGUUUUCCAAUUAAUAUAUGAGGAAUAUAAUUAUUCCGGAUAUUUUCUAUUACUAGGAGGCCUUGCAUUACAAAACUGUGUGUUCGGUGCCAUAUUUCGACCAUCUAAAACAGAACUUGCAAUGAAAACUGCCAAUUCAAAUCGUACGGAAAGUUUCAGUGAUUCGGUGUCGUCUUAUAUGGAGAUUGUUCGGAGUGGCUCAAUGCUGUGUGUAUGUUUAGGAUUCUUCCUGGCCAAUAUUAGUAUCUAUCUACUCUACAUACAUUAUCCUGAAUAUUGUCUCCAUACAAAAUCAACGAAAAUGGACGUGUCUAUAUUUUUAUCAAUAGCCGGUAUAUCUGGUUGUGUAACAAGGGUAUUAUUUGGUAUGGCUAAUAACAGUCAUAACAUAAACGAGUUACUAAUGCUUUUUGGAGUGUUUAGUUUGUUAGGGUUUGGUACCAUAAUCUUCCCUUUAUUUAGUUCAUAUACAACGGCCAAAGUGAUGUUUGCCUGCCUACUUGGCGGAUAUUCUGGUUGUUGCUGGGCAGUUGUGAAUUCUAUAGUUAUAAAUAUUUUAGGACAUGAGAGACUCGCACAUGGUGUUGGUUAUCUCAUGAUAUAUUGUGGAGUUGGAACAUUCAUAGGACCACCUCUGGCAGGUGAGUUUUAUCUUUUAUAUUUUUUUCAUACAUAAUUUUACACUAGAUUAAGCAUGCUAAGACUAAUAAGUUUCUGAAUUUAAUAAAUUUGCAAAGUUAAAUAAUCUUUCGUUCUUUUUUGGCAGACAUCAAUGGUGUUUAAUUAAAAUUAUUUGAUCGGGUGUAAAAGAGGGACGUAAGAUACCAGAGGGACAGUCAAACUCAUAAAUCGAAAAUAAAACUGACAACGCCAUGGCUAAAAUGACAAAAGGACAAAAGACAAACAAUAGUACACAUGACACAACAUAGAAAACUAAAGAAUAAACAACACGAACCCCACCAAAAACUAGGUAGAUAUAAUUACAUCAUGUAUAUUUUUGUUUACAAUAUGACUUUGUAUUUUCUGUAUUCCCGUUAACGAAUAGCGUAAGAAAUCUUUUUUGAUAACAAGUACUGGCUUCAAGAGUAUAUUUUUAUUUGUUGUUUGAAAUCUUUAAAAUUCUACAAUAUUUUUGUUAUUUAAAAGUCUAAUAAAACUACAAUUUAAAAUUAUCUUGAAAUACUCUAUAUUUUUAUUUUUAGCCAUGGCGUUGUCAGUUUAUUUUCUAUCUCGGAGUUUGAUUGUCCCUGGUAUCUUUCGUUCCUCUAUUAUAGUUAUUUAUAACUGUGUGUGAACCCUCUUACAAUAAAUACCAAUUCUGCUCAAAUGUAUCUUAAAGAUUUCUUUUAUCUGCCAGACAUUGCCAUUUCAAAUUCAUAAAAGUUUGUGUGUUCCAACUAUAUGUAAAGCCGCAUUCACUUAGCGUGUUUGUAUGUGAUCUACAUGUAACCGUAAAUACCGAUCACCGUUUAAAUGCAUCUGACAACUGAAAUCAUAAGUUAUAAACAAUUAUAGACUCUUCUCUACAACCAAGUUCAGCCCGGAAUGAUAUCAUUCUAUUUUGUAUGUAAAUGUCUACAGGAUAUCUCCCAAUGAUAAACGAUGGUGUAGAAGUUUAUAAAUGAAACAUCAAUUUACCAAAUUUAAAGUGGACUUCGAUAACUUAGCACCCAUUCAGUAAAUUGGUUAUAUAUCAUUUUAUCUAAUAACUCGUAUUCUGUUUUGAUUACAAUGCCAUGCAGCUCUGCCUAAUUUCAGGACCUCAGAGAAAGCCUUGUUUUCUUAUAUAUAUAUGGACUGUUUCGCUCUCGUAAAGAUCACUUUCCGGGUCAAUUCUAACCCUAAAUAAAUAAAGUAUUUACCCAUUCUAGUUCUAUUCCGUUCAAGGUAAAAAAUUAAAAAAAGGUUUCUCGGAAGAGUUCCUCUAGAAAACAAAAUAUAGCAUGACUUUUAUCGGCAAUAACUUUUAAUUUCUAUCCUGAAAAAUAAUUAAAAAAAAAAACGAUGUUGCUUUUAGAGAUCUACUGGUGAUUCUGUCAUAAGCACAGUAUCAUCAGCAUACACUAGCAACAAUAAUUUAGAUAGACCGGCAAAAAUAUAUUAACCCUAUUUAAAAAAAAAGAUUCCUAAAUUAAAUCAAAUCGAAAUUUAAAACUGUUUUCAAUUUAUUUUAAUCCAUUUCAAAUCAUUUUAAUACCAGUCAAAUAUAUUCCCUUGUUGUCAUUUAAGUUGGUUAAAGAUGUGAUUAAGCUACGCAAAACCAGUUAGCCACGAAAAGGUAAAUAAGUUAAAAAUACAAAUAUUAAAAAUGUUUUAAGUUGUUCAAUAUAUGCUUUCAAUUAGAAAGGUUGGUGAUAAGAGAUAUGAAAACUAGCGUCAUCGAAGUAAUUUUGCUAAAAAUAAUAAAACGAGAAUGCUGGUUACAAAUUUCAAAUGACUUUAGAUAUGCAUAAAGCGUUAGAAAUUGUUUUCUGCUCAUUUCAUUUGCAGUUUGAUAAAUAUGAAUUUGUUCUCAGUCUUGCCAAGUAAUAGACAUUACCUGAUUUUCGAAGGACAUGUUCAUAUAAUAUUCCAAAUGACAACGAUAAGAUAUUUUGAACGAAUAAUAAUUAUCUGGUUUUUUUUUAUUUGUAAGGUGUUAUCAUUAACUAUGGUGGUACUUAUGGAGAUUCAUUCAUAGUGGCAGGUAUGUACAACUUACAAUUUUUAAUGAGAGCAAAGAAAAAUAAGGCUUAUAAAUCUUUUUUACACAACUGUAAAUUUCAGAUGUAAUCUUUGUUUUUGAAGUUUUUACAUGACUUGUAUAUGAUAUUUUUAUGUAUUUCAGGUAUUUUAUUAAUUAUGGGAGGAUUUAGUUGUCUUUGUUGUACAAUGUGCCAAGGAUCAGUGGACACCAAAGAAAGUUUUGAUGACUUUGAAUUUACUGUAACAGCUGAUGAAAAUACGCAAACUAUUCUAGCUAGUAAUAAAACAGAUGAAAAUGAUAGUUUUUUGAUUGAAGAAAUAAAAAAUGUGAAUUUCGGUAUUAGGUUUAUAAACAAACAGUAAAACAUAAUAUAGAAUUACAUAAUAAAGAAUAUUUUACUGC
rnacentral:lncRNA from 1 species